AACGAACGCUGGCGGCAGGCUUAACACAUGCAAGUCGAGCGCCCCGCAAGGGGAGCGGCAGACGGGUGAGUAACGCGUGGGAAUCUACCCAUCUCUACGGAAUAACGCAUGGAAACGUGUGCUAAUACCGUAUACGUCCUUCGGGAGAAAGAUUUAUCGGAGAUGGAUGAGCCCGCGUUGGAUUAGCUAGUUGGUGGGGUAAAGGCCUACCAAGGCGACGAUCCAUAGCUGGUCUGAGAGGAUGAUCAGCCACACUGGGACUGAGACACGGCCCAGACUCCUACGGGAGGCAGCAGUGGGGAAUAUUGGACAAUGGGCGCAAGCCUGAUCCAGCCAUGCCGCGCGAGUGAUGAAGGCCCUAGGGUUGUAAAGCUCUUUCACCGGUGAAGAUAAUGACGGUAACCGAAGAAGAAGCCCCGGCUAACUUCGUGCCAGCCGCCGCUGUAAGAC
rnacentral:rRNA from 1 species